ACUGACAGGAUAAGAGAGGAGAGAGUGAGAGAGUCAAAGGGUUAAUAAAAGAACCAAACCAAAUGAGAUAGUGAGGACAAAAUAGGGACGAACAAUUUGGCCAUGAGUGGUUCUGUUUGGCAUGGAACAAACACGUGAAAUUUUAACGUGAGUUAAGUCGGCCAAAAGAGUGUUAAAUGGCUUGAAGACGGAGGUUGUUAUCUGCAUUCUUGGUUGGUAUCGAGUCUAUUUCAUUUUGAAUUAGCAACAAAAUCACAAGCAUGGGCUAGUCUUUGUCUCCCUUCUGCCAUGGACCAAUAAUUGAUUUUCCCUCUCUCUUUCUAACUCUCCAAAGGAGAAUGCAUAAAAAGCUCCCUCUAUAUAAUGCAGCAAACCUAUCUCUUUCCAUCCCAAGAUAACCUGAUCUUUAUUUCGGCAGAUAAAGUUAGGAAAUGAGAUCCUCACAUUUUAUUUUCUUUUGCCUUCUCUUUACUUUCUUCUAUCUUCGUUCAAUGGAUCUUUUGCAUUCUCCACCUCCACUUUUCACCUCCGAAGGAAGACAAGCAAGAAAGUACCUUGGUACAUCCUUUUCCCACGAGGUUCAUGAAGACGAGUUCAAUAGACCGUCUCCAAAAGAUACGUCCUCCAACACACCUGAAUAUGAAGCAAGUAUCAACAGCUUGGGUGAACUUGUAUACCACAUUGACUAUCAUGGAGUGACAACGCAUCCCAAUCCAACGCCAAAACAUCCAUAGCAAACAUAUCAACUUUUAAGAUGAAAUGAAUUAUUCAUACAUGUACUGCACUUCAAAUACUCUCUUUUGUUUUACAAUCUAUCAAAUGCUAAUUUUUUUCAUGCUA